rnacentral:rRNA from 1 species
CCUACGGGCGGCUGCAGUGGGGAAUAUUGGACAAUGGGGGCAACCCUGAUCCAGCCAUGCCGCGUGUGUGAAGAAGGCCCUCGGGUUGUAAAGCACUUUCAGUGAGGAAGAACGCCUGGUGGUUAAUACCCAUCAGGAAAGACAUCACUCACAGAAGAAGCACCGGCUAACUCCGUGCCAGCAGCCGCGGUAAUACGGAGGGUGCGAGCGUUAAUCGGAAUUACUGGGCGUAAAGCGCGCGUAGGUGGCUUGAUAAGCCGGUUGUGAAAGCCCCGGGCUCAACCUGGGAACGGCAUCCGGAACUGUCAAGCUAGAGUGCAGGAGAGGAAGGUAGAAUUCCCGGUGUAGCGGUGAAAUGCGUAGAGAUCGGGAGGAAUUCCAGUGGCGAAGGCGGCCUUCUGGACUGACACUGACACUGAGGUGCGAAAGCGUGGGUAGCAAACAGGAUUAGAUACCCGUUGUAGUC